UUUUUGAUCUCUGCCCGAUUCUUCCCCUCUCGCUCGACGUCGCCUCUCCCUCAUGCGGCGUGGAGCGUCGAUCGCCUUUUCUUCCUCUUCCCCCAAUGGAUGCUGCGUGACGCCUCACCUCCCUCGCGAACAAAAUCACUGGCCAAGCUCUUCUCCUCCUUUGCAUCGCGUUUUCCCCUUCUUUCCCUCUGCCCUAGCUUCCACCCGAGCCCUUCCUCUUCCCUGAUCUUGCGCUGCUGUCGACCACCACGAACACAAGAUCGGUCGUCGCAGCCUGAAGAUGACCGCCGUGAACCGACACUGGUCGCCAGCCACCUUAGCACCACCCAAUCUCCAAAUCGCCACUUCGCACAAGCUCAUCUUCGGUCAGGAAAGGGAGAUAUGAGUUCUAGUUCCACCGAUAUCUCAGGUUCCAGCGCUAGAUUUAGGUUGUAUCGGCGUCCCAAAUGGCUACCUCUUCCUCCAUUGACCAAUAUUGAGCGGCCACCUUCGAUCCUUUCAUCAUUGUUCUCAACAGCCGCUAGGUCCAGUCUCCAUCGGAGAGGAACUACCGAUUUGGUGGCUUCAUAGUAUCGUCAACUUCUUCCUUGCCAACUUCGAUCGUAGCUUGCCCUAGUUUUCCUUGGGGAGGAAACUGCUAGCGAUAAGAUCUGGCAGUGGCUUUUGGGAGAAGUCAGCCACAUGUCUCUUGCAGCAACCUUCUCCGGCAAGCAAUUUCUGGUAGCUGCUCAUCUUGGCCGUGAGUCAUCAGGGAUGACUUUGUAUUGUGGUUGAGGCUGUCAGGAGGUUCCAAUCGUUAGUCCCCCACCUCGUGUAGAUAUGGUUUUCUACUUUCAGACUUUGUUUCCAUGUUUGUGAUCUACAUACUUGUGAUGUGUAGAUAUUGCACUCAUGGAUUUUAUAUUGAGUUUUAGUCUACUACCCUUAUUUUCCAUUGCGAUGGUUUUCCAUUGUGGGUUGAGUUUUCCUCGAGUAGUGGAGUAGGUUGUAUUAUAAACUGCGUGUUAUGAUGUGUUGUGUAGUCAGCCGAAGGCUGAUUUUUUAUAAACUGCGUGGAUUGAUUGUUUA